AUGGACAGCCCAACGCAAAUGGCACCAGAUGACCCAAAAGUGCUGGAGCUCAGCCUUUCCAAACUCGUGUCCUGCAAAAAAAGAUAAGUCAAAUCUAUACUGCAGCCUGCUGUGCUCAUACAGGACCAUGGAAGCUCCCCAAGAUCCUCCUGUUCCGACCCCAAAACUCUUAGACUGCUUUGCUGAGUCCUGACCCCACUGCAGGUGCUGGCACCACACCACCUGACUGCAGUCGCUGUGUCAACGUGGCAUUGCUGACACAGUGAGCCCCAAAUGGACAAGGAAACCAUUUUAGAGUAGCAACCCGGUGAGCAGGGCUGUGCAGGGGAGGGCUGCACAGGGAAGCAGGGCAGGAGGCUGCUCCUUUCAUUCCUUCCCCCCUGCCUUGCAGAUGGACAGCCCAACACAAAUGGCUCCAGAGGACCCAAAAGUGCUGGAGCUCAGCCCUCCAAACUGGUGUCCUCCAGAGAAGGUGCUGGCACCGGACCUGCUGAUUGCAGUGCCCGUAUCAAGGUGUCAUUGGUGACACAAUAAGCCCCAGAUGCCAAGGAAGCAAUUUUCAGAGCAGCAACCUGGUGAGCAGGGCUGUGCAAGAGAGGGCAGCACAGGGAAGCAGGGCAGGAGGCUGCUCCUCUUGUACCUCCCCUCUGCCUUGCAGAUGGACAGACCAACACAAAUGGCACCAGAUGACCAAAACUGAUGCAGCUCAGCUCACCUCCAAACUGGUGUUCAUGUCCUACAAAGAAGGUGCUGGCACCAGACCUGCUGAUUGCAGUGGCCUUUCCACAAAGCCCUGGGGACACAGGCAGCCCCACGGCCAUGAAAACAGCUGGCACAGCAGCAACCUGGUGAGCAGGGCUGUGCAGGGGAGGGCAGCUCAGGGAAGCAGGGCAGGAGGCUGCUCCUUUCUUCCUUCCUCCCCUUCUCACUUGCAGAUGCACAGCCCAACAGCUCUCACCACCUUCACUACUGCACACAUCAGUGCCUCCAGGAACCACAUGGAUUGUGUGAAACACAGCUCUGAAGAUGAGGACGGAACAAGAGGCCAACAGGGAUGGAUGGGCCCAAUUCAGAAACACCACAGACACCACAUCCAGAAGAGAAGGAAGCACCGGAACCCAGCGCUGCUGAGACCCGCAUGGAAGUUGAGGAGCCGCGAAGACUGGCAGCCUUCCUGCCUCCACCCCCAGACGACCAGCGAGAAGCCAGCACACAAUUAAAGACUAAUUGAACAAUAAUUCAGAAUAAACUUUCUCAUUCCUUACA
rnacentral:lncRNA from 1 species